UACGGGGGGUGCAAGCGUUACUCGGAAUCACUGGGCGUAAAGAGCAUGUAGGCGGAUUAAUAAGUUUGAAGUGAAAUCCUAUAGCUUAACUAUAGAACUGCUUUGAAAACUGUUGAUCUAGAAUGUGGGAGAGGUAGAUGGAAUUUCUGGUGUAGGGGUAAAAUCCGUAGAGAUCAGAAGGAAUACCGAUUGCGAAGGCGAUUUACUGGAACACAAUUGACGCUGAGAUGCGAAAGCGUGGGGAGCACACAGG
rnacentral:rRNA from 1 species